AUGAACGCUGGCGGCAUGCCUUAACAUGCAAGUCGAACGGCAGCGCGGGAGCAAUCCUGGCGGCGAGUGGCGAACGGGUGAGUAAUACAUCGGAACAUGUCCAGUAGUGGGGGAUAGCCCGGCGAAAGCCGGAUUAAUACCGCAUACGAUCUUUGGAUGAAAGCGGGGGAUCGCAAGACCUCGCGCUAUUGGGGUGGCCGAUGGCGGAUUAGCUAGUUGGUGGGGUAAAGGCCCACCAAGGCGACGAUCCGUAGCUGGUCUGAGAGGACGACCAGCCACACUGGGACUGAGACACGGCCCAGACUCCUACGGGAGGCAGCAGUGGGGAAUUUUGGACAAUGGGCGAAAGCCUGAUCCAGCAAUGCCGCGUGUGUGAAGAAGGCCUUCGGGUUGUAAAGCACUUUAGUCCGGAAAGAAAUCCUGGUGGCUAAUAUCCGCCGGGGAUGACGGUACCGGAAGAAUAAGCACCGGCUAACUACGUGCCAGCAGCCGCGGUAAUACGUAGGGUGCGAGCGUUAAUCGGAAUUACUGGGCGUAAAGCGUGCGCAGGCGGUGAUGUAAGACCGAUGUGAAAUCCCCGGGCUUAACC
rnacentral:rRNA from 1 species